rnacentral:tRNA from 1 species
GCUCUCGGAGUCUCCGCUGGCGAGAGAUGCGAGACUUUCAAUCUCGAGGUCGAGGGUUCAAUUCCCUUCGAGAGCA